rnacentral:rRNA from 1 species
CCUACGGGGGGCAGCAGUGAGGAAUAUUGGACAAUGGAGGCAACUCUGAUCCAGCCAUGCCGCGUGCAGGAAGACUGCCCUAUGGGUUGUAAACUGCUUUUAUACAGGAAGAAACCUUUCCACGUGUGGAGAGCUGACGGUACUGUAAGAAUAAGGAUCGGCUAACUCCGUGCCAGCAGCCGCGGUAAUACGGAGGAUCCAAGCGUUAUCCGGAAUCAUUGGGUUUAAAGGGUCCGUAGGUGGAUAAUUAAGUCAGAGGUGAAAUCCUGCAGCUCAACUGUAGAAUUGCCUUUGAUACUGGUUAUCUUGAAUUAUUGUGAAGUAGUUAGAAUAUGUAGUGUAGCGGUGAAAUGCAUAGAUAUUACAUAGAAUACCAAUUGCGAAGGCAGAUUACUAACAAUAUAUUGACACUGAUGGACGAAAGCGUGGGGAGCGAACAGGAUUAGAUACCCCCGUAGUC